UACAGAGGUCCCAAGCGUUGUUCGGAUUCAUUGGGCGUAAAGGGUGCGUAGGCGGCGGGGUAAGUCAGGUGUGAAAUCCCGGAGCUCGACUCCGGAACUGCACUUGAUACUGCCUUGCUUGAGUACUGGAGAGGAGACUGGAAUUUACGGUGUAGCAGUGAAAUGCGUAGAUAUCGUAAGGAAGACCAGUGGCGAAGGCGAGUCUCUGGACAGUUACUGACGCUGAGGCACGAAGACCAGGGGAGCAAACGGG
rnacentral:rRNA from 1 species